UCGAGAAUCAUUCGCAAUGGGCGAAAGCCUGACGGUGCGACGUCGCGUGGAGGAUGAAGGUCUUCGGAUUGUAAACUCCUGUCAUGUGGAAUAAAUGGCCCGGGCCCGAAUACGGCCUGGGAAUGAUCGUACCACAGGAGGAAGAGACGGCUAACUCUGUGCCAGCAGCCGCGGUAAUACAGAGGUCUCGAGCGUUGUUCGGAUUUACUGGGCGUAAAGGGAGCGUAGGCGGUUUGGUGUGUCGAAUGUGAAAGCCCGCAACUCAACUGCGGAAUGGCAUUCGAAACUACCCGACUAGAGUACUGGAGAGGAGAGCGAAAUUCUGGUGUAGCGGUGAAAUGCGUAGAUAUCAAGAGGAACACCGGUGGCGAAGGCGGCUCUCUGGACAGAUACUGACGCU
rnacentral:rRNA from 1 species